GGAAGGAUCAUUCACGCACAAAUUUCAAAACACAAACUCGGCGAACUGCGGUAAGCUGAACUCAAAACAUCUAACUCGCAGAUCUGCAGCCCUCGUGGGUGUCGGUCUACGCAGUUUUCUUAACAAAACCAACCGAAAUCUCAUAACGAUUGAUGCCUUGGUUCGGAACUCGAUGAAGGACGCAGCAAAGUGCGAUAAGCACUGUGAACUGCAGAACUCAGCGAAUCAGCAGAUCUCUCAACGCAUAAGGUGCUAGGAGGAUUUAUCUUCCUGGCAGGCAUGCUUCAGCGUUGUUACAUUUACAAUUCUUCUUUUGAAGUAAUUCGAAAGACUCGAUUGUAUGUGUAUUCCUCGCGGAAUGGUUUGUCUGCUAAUAUAAACUGGCAGACGGAGACAGCUACGCAUUAUUUAAAUCAGUUUUCAUGAUGCAAGGUAGCAAACUGUCACCAACCUGAAGUAUGUCAGAUUACCCGCUGAACUUAAGCAUAUCACUAAGCGGAGGAAAAGAAACUAACAAGGAUUCCCUCAGUAAAGGCGAUUGAACAGGGAAGAGCUCAUCGCUAAAUCAGAGGUUCCACUCUGAAAUGUAGCGUGAGGUAAGCCAGUGUCUCUGCGAAGUUGAACUUCUCUGGAAAGAGAGGCCAUAGAGGGUGAGAGCCCCGUCUAAGCUUCUGCACGCACGUACGGCAUGCCUUUCAACGAGUCGCGCUCUUUGGAAGUAGAGCGUAAAUAGGUGGUAGAUUCCAUCUAAAGCUAAUAUCGUUCCGAAACCAAUAGAAAACAAGUACCAUGAGGGAAAGGUGAAAAGAACUUUGGAAAGAGGGUUAAAAGUGCCUGAGAUCGUUAUGGGGGAAGCGAAUCCUGACCAUUGUCGUGACCGACAUCAUCGGGGAGAAUCUGUCAGCAGUUUCGACUCGUGAGCAUUGGUUGUGACUGCGUCACUAGCUUUUUCUCUCGUUCUAACGUGCGUUCAUUACGUGCUCUCGGGUACGUAGUGGCGGCGAAACGAGGAGGAGGCUAGAGCUCCGGGAUCUUCGUGUUACGUAUGCUCAAAGUCGCAGUGGGUCGCAAAUUGUUCCUAGGAACCAUGCGCGGUGCCAUAGUGAUUUCGAGUGUACGCAGCGGUGACCGUUGUGACGCCAAAGGUUGAGAUUCGACCCGUCUUGAAACACGGACCAAGGAGUCUAACGUUCGUGCGAGUGUGUGAGAUUUCAAUCUUCCACGCGUAAGGAAACUAAUUCCAUCUUGAGCGCAAGCUUGUAGAUGGUACCAAAUCCUGAUCCUUGGAGAAGGAUUUGAGUGUGAGCACGUACGAUAGGACCCGAAAGAUGGUGAACUAUGCCUGAGUAGGGUGAAGCCAGGGGAAACUCUGGUGGAAGCUCGUAGCGAUACUGACGUGCAAAUCGUUCGUCAAACUUGGGUAUAGGGGCGAAAGACUAAUCGAACCAUCUAGUAGCUGGUUCCCUC
rnacentral:misc_RNA from 1 species